rnacentral:rRNA from 1 species
GCAGCGAUGCCGCGUGAGUGAAGAAGGCCCUUGGGUUGUAAAGCUCUUUCGUCGGGGAAGAAAAUGACUGUACCCGAAUAAGAAGGUCCGGCUAACUUCGUGCCAGCAGCCGCGGUAAUACGAAGGGACCUAGCGUAGUUCGGAAUUACUGGGCUUAAAGAGCACGUAGGUGGUUAAAAAAGUUGGUGGUGAAAUCCCAGAGCUUAACUCUGGAACUGCCAUCAAAACUUUUUAGCUAGAGUAUGAUAGAGGAAAGUAGAAUUUCUAGUGUAGAGGUGAAAUUCGUAGAUAUUAGAAAGAAUACCGAUUGCGAAGGCAACUUUCUGGAUCAUUACUGACACUGAGGUGCGAAAGCAUGGGUAGCGAAGAGGAUUAGAUACCCUCGUAGUCCAUGCCGUAAACGAUGUGUGCUAGACGUUGGAAAUUUAUUU